GAAUUCGUGUAAUAUUUCACGACCUUUACCGUUGGAGAUCGCCCUUCGGGGGGAAGUGCGGUAACGCAAACGAACACAAGAGACGUGGCUGGAGCCCCCGGAAGAGUUCUUCUUUCUUUGUAAGGCAGGUACCCCCUGGAAUCCAGGCCUUGUCCGGAGAUAGGGGCGUGGCUCCGCUAAAGCAGCGCGGGUCUUGCCUGUCCGGUGCACUCUAGUCGGCUUGAAAAAUUGUGGGGGACAGUGUGAUUUUCACGGUAGGCGCUACCCAUAUCCGCAGCAGGUCUCCAAGGUGAACAGCCUCUAGUCCUUGAACAAUGUAGUAGGGAAGUCGGCAAAAUGAUCCGUAACUCGGGAAAGGAUUGGCUCUGAGGGCUGGUGUCGGAUGGCUGGCGUAAGAAAGCUGUUCGCGUCUUUGGUGAGGAAACUGGGCGGGCUUUCGGGCUUUACUCGCGACCAUGCCGAGACCAGGCAGUAGACGACGUCAGCUGUUGUUGUUCGUGUUUCGGCGCGGCAGCUUCGUCGGCAACAAACAGCCAACUCAGAAUGGCACGGACUAGGGGAAUCCGACUGUCUAUUAAACCAAGCAUUGCGAUGGCUGUUUGCUCAGUGUUGACGCAUGGAUUUCUGCCCUCAGUGCUUUGAAUGUCAAAGUUGAAGAAAUUCAAUCAAGCCGGGUAAACGGCGGGAGUACUAUGACUCUCUUAAGGUAAGCCAAAUUGCCUCUCAUCUAAUUAUGACGCCGCCAUGGAAUGAUUAACAGAUUCCCACUGUCCCUAUCUUACUUAUCUAGCGAAACCAAGCCAAGGGAACGGGCUUGGCAGAAUCAGCGGGGAAAGAAACCCUGUGAGCUGGACUCUAGUUCCGACUUUGUGAAAAUUGAGACAUGACGAGGUGUAGUAUAGGUGGGAGCGUCAGCGACUUUGAAAUACCACUACUAUUUAUCGUUUCUUUACUUAUUCAGUGAAGCGGGAAGCGGCCUUCACUUGCCUCGUUUCGGUUGUUUAAAACGGCUGGCCCUCGCGGCGGCCGUGACCUGCUCUGAAAGACAGCUUGUCAGGGGGGAGUUUGACUGGGCGUACAUCUGUAAAACGGUAACGCAGGCUGUCCCAAGAUGAGCUCAGUCAGGACAGAAACCUGGCGUAGAGCCAAAAGGGCAAAGCUUCAUUUGAUUUUGAUUUUUCAGUACGAAAUACAGACCGUGUGAAAGCGCGGCCUAUCCGUCCCAUUUGAUUUAAUCAAGAGUUUGAUGCAAGGGGUGUCAGAAAAGUUUAUCACCACAGGAUUAACUGGCUGUUUGUGCGGCCAAGCGUUCAUAGCGCGACGUCGCUUUGAUCCUUCGAUGUCGGCUCUUCCUAUCAUUGUGAAGCAAGAAUUCAUUGCAGAGCGUUGGAUUGUUCACCUGCACCAAUAGGGACGUGAGCUUGGUUUUAGACCGUCGUGAGACAGGUUAGAUUUUACCCUACUGAUGUCUUGUCGUUGCUUAUGGUAAUCCUGCUUAGUACGAGAGGAACCGCAGGUUCAGACAUUUGGUUUAUGUGCUUGGUCGAAAGACAAUGGUGCGAAGCUACCAUCUGAGGGAUUAAGACUGAAAGCCUCUUAAGUCUGAAUCCCGCCCAGAAAUGCAAACGAUACUUCGGUGCCCCUACGCCGGGACGGCAACGAUAUACUCGGCCCGAAUCCGAUUUCGGCGGCCGAGACUGGCUAAGCCACUGCGAUACUGGCCACACCCGCUGUCUUGAAUUUGGCAGUGGAGGCACAGACACGAUACCACUUGAUUGAGACGUAGGGGUUCUAUAUCGUUUGUAGACGACUUAGAUCUCGUCGGGGUGCCGUACUUAGUUGAGCAGUUCUUUCACUGCGAUCUAUUGAGGCUAAGCCUUUUGACGGGGAGAUAUGU
rfam:Macrostomum lignano unitig_46960, whole genome shotgun sequence.